rnacentral:lncRNA from 1 species
AUGGUCGUCCUAGGGGACAAGACUCCAGAGGUUUGUCGAUUAAGGGUCAAGACUGGCUUAUUCUUGGGGAACAAAACCAAAAGCGGUCGAGGAGAGGCUACGCUCGAGCCAGUAGGACAAACGCCUCCAGAGAUGGAGUGGAAACUGGAGCGCGCCGCCCGGAGGAGGGUCCGCACUGAAGAAGAGAUUCUGUGGGAGGAUGUCAUGCGGGUGCUCGACAAAGACAUGAAGCAGAGGAGAGGUCAAGUUUCUCCCAAGGUAUUUAAUGUAGUUAACACUACAUACUCUAACUUCACCAGCCACUUGGCAAAGAGACUAUCAGCUGAAGUUCCUGUUGCCAGUAGCCCGAUUACCGCAAGAUGGCGGCAGAGCCAAGCUGGGGAUGUGGCAGCCCCUUCCUUUGGGGAAGAGCGUUCAACUACUGACCUCCCUGAAACUGUGCUGAAGAUGACUCCUGAGAAAGAGACCUUAACUCCAGGAUCCUGCAAGGAACCACUGAAGACCCCCAACAAAGAAAGUUCUGGGACAAAUAACUCUGCUUUCCAGUUUGGCAAGGCACCUCAUGCAGUGGAUAGAGGCCGGAAGGAUAAAGUUGCUUCAAAAGACCUGAAAUGCUUAAACCAGCUAUUUUCAACCCAGAACGUGGCUCAGCAGGUUAAUGGGAGCAUGCAGUUCUGUGAGGGAUCCCAAUGCACUUGGAAAGCCAUCAGUAACCUUUUCCAUGUACCUGCACACAUGGGUCCCUGUUUUCCUUGGUGGCUCCUCCUACCCAGAACCUGCUGAAUAGGCCACUCUCUUGGCUGCAGCAAUGGAAUCAGAGAUGGAUACUUCCAAAGAUUGAGUGAUAUAAACUAUCCCAUACUCCAGCCAGAGGUGAAGAUUCAUCUUACAGGUCUUCGAAAUGACUAUUGUAUGUUAUUGUUGAGAUCAUGAAUUAAAACGCUGAAAUGACAGAAUGUAUCCUGUGCUGUAGCAUAAACUUGAAAUUUGAUUCUGGAAGAAGCAAAUGGCCUUGUGCCUCAUGCUUAAAUGGUGUACCAUCCGAAUAUGUUUACUACUGUGAGUUUCUCAUUGUAGAAUUUUCAUGUUCAGGAAUGGGCAUUGUUUGUCUUGGUGGGGCACAAGAAGCACACACUCUAAUAGAAUGAACUGUACAAAUGAUGACCUACUCCUAUGCUUAUAUUUUAAACGUGG